rnacentral:lncRNA from 1 species
ACAAAAAUAAAUAAGUAAUGUCCGAAAGUUUUGACUACCGAUUUUAAAAAUUCUUGUAUAAUUUUUUCUUUAAUAUAUUUUUAAUUUUUAGCUGUUUUCGCCGAAGACAAUUAUACACAAAAAUUGAGAGAUCAGAAUAACAGAAUAACUGGACUUAAUGUAACAUAAGAAGCCGUCAAGUAUGUCUAAAGGUAAAUUUAAUAUAAGAUAUUUCUCCAAAGAUAUAUCAUAGGUCUGACUUCAUUUUGUAUAUGACAAAAAAAAUAAUUUCAAUAAGUAAUGUCUGAGAUCACCAGCGGUGUUAAAAUGGUUUAAAUAAAAUCCUUUGACUGGUGAAUUUUUAAAAAUUCAUAUAUACAUAUACUUUUUUUAAUAUAUUUUUAAUUUUUAGCUAUUUUCAUCCAAGACAGUCAUGUGUGAAACAGACAACAAUUGAGAGAUCUGAAUAACAGAAUAUAAUAUCUGGAGUUAAUGUAACAAUAAGAAGCCAUCAAGUAUGUCUUAAGGUAGGCCAGGUUGCCAAUUCGAUGCAGUAUACGAAAAAUUUGCUGUGGAAUUGACUGCAUACACGUGUCACGGAACAAUGUUAUUAGGAAAGGACAAAAUUCUUUUUGAACUUUUUUGGCUACACCUUAAGAAAACGUGGCCACAAAUUUAGACAGGAAUGCUUAAAAGAUUACUUUGUAGCAUUAGGAUGUUAAAGAAUAUUUAGUCCAAUUCACUCAAUAACCACCGCCUUAGUUGACGAAAAUAGGAAUUAGCAUUAAAUAUUGAAAGAUAUGUGUGACGUGGGCUUGGAACUUAACGGGAACUGCCGAAAAAGAGCAAGAGAAUCAAACGUGAAAAGGAAAAAAGAGAAAAAACAACGGUUUUUAUCCGAUCGGGCAUCAUUCAAAAGAAGAAAGAAACCCUCCUAUAAAAUCUAGAUCUUAAGAAAAAGUGCAGAUUUAAUAAGAAGAUUUAAAGAUAUUGUAAAUCUGGCUUAUGCCGGACCUGUUGAUUUUUCCAGUUUCAAAUAAUUUUGUCAUUUGAAGAGGAUCAUUCCUUUUCCCAGCAGAAGAAUUAGCCAGUUAUAUCGGAAGUCAUAAACAAGACCUUUUAGAAGCUAUUUAAUUCUGACAAAAGAGGUUUGGAAGCGCCAAGACCAGUUUACCAGUAACCUUCUUUGAACGAAACCAAUACUUUUUGAAAAAACAAUGACCCUAAGAUGCAGUUCGUCAGAUCGAAAGGGAACGAUUCUCCUUUUUGGAAGGCAGCCAACACAAUUUAUAUCACACGUCGCCCUAUGACAAAGACAAAUCAACAUAACUGGUCUUACAAUUAUAUGAAUGAAGAAAUACUGACUAAAGAACAUAAAAGAUGCUCAAUGUCAAAAGAAAUGAAGAAAAAGUAUGGUAUGGCCUCUCGUCGUGUCGCCUUUGCAAAGCAGUAUUUACAUUGUGAGUAGCCUAUAAUUUUGAAAAUAUGUACUCAUAAAAUGGAAGCUUAUGGAGCAAGGAAAUGGAGGAAUAAGAAGAAUGGAAGAAGAAUAUGAAAAUAGGAUGACGUGGAGUGGAUUGUAGAUGUUUUAAGAAUUGGAGGGUGAAUAAUAAGACGAAUAGCUGAAGAAUACCUGUGACAUGUAGCUUUUUUAAGAGGAUAUCAACUAUAAGAAUUUAUGAGAAAUUUUAAGUGAGAUCAUUGCAGUGCAAGUUGGGGGGUAAAAUGUAAAGCUUAUGAUUAAAUAUUCACCACCAAGAGAUGCAGCAGAACCAUAGCAGUACUGUGGAAGAUUACAAAACCAGCAGGAUGAGAUCAGAUCAUUAGAGAGUGGUCCAUAAUAAUAAAUGGGACCAAAUUAAAGCCAAACAGUAUACUAGGGUGCCAUUACAUCAUCUAGGAGCUUAAAUAUAAUAGUUACCAAAUCAAAACCAAACAGGAUACUAUAUAGGGUGCCAGAUUACAUUAUUCAGGAGCCUAAAUAUAACAUUUUAACUGACUGAAUA